UUGCAAGUGUUUCAGGUCUUACCAAUGAAGGUAUUCUCUUUUGGUUGGAUUGCUUGGACUUGGUGAGUCAGGAUCCACCAUCACCUAUUGAGGACUCUUCUUCAGUUGCUGAUCUCUUGUCUUAAAAAGGGAACUGUAUAUGUCAACUUAUUUGUACUUCAGAUAAAAGAUGAGGCAAAGGUGUGUUAGAUUAGGUCUACAUUGAUCUUGACUAGCAGGGGACCAUAGAAUCUAAUUUUAUUCCUGUACUUUACAGUAAAGUUUAUGUGGACUUCAUUCUCCUGAUACUGCUGCAUUCUGUAGGUUUUCAGCUUCGCAAGUUCGAGCAAUUAUGAAUAAAAAUUUGUAAGCAAUUUCCCAAAGCUAGAAAGAGAAGCCUUACUAUGUUUGAUUAGAGAAGUACCACCGCACCUGAAUUCGAAGGUAAUAAAUGUCAAAUGUGCAUAGUGUUAUUUCUCAGGCCUGAAUUUCAAUUGAGUGAGUCAAAACAAAGAAUUGCAAAGAGUUUAGUUAUAAGAGAUGAUGAACCUUAAAGUUGAUGGAAUAUGUGGAUUGCCUUUUGGUUUGGUUUGGUUUGUGGCUACACGGUCUUGAUCCUUGACCAACGAAUAAAGCAGUGCCGCCCUUCACGUGGGCAUAUCCCAUUGGUCCAGGCACUCGAAUAGUGCAUCGAACUCGGCGGAGAAUGAUAGACAUCACAUGGGCUGCCCAAGUACAGACAUGGACAUUUGACAGAGAUACUUCCAGCUUGGAAUUACAUGAAACAGACAUCGAUAUGGAGGAAAUAACUUCCAGAAAAGGAAAAAAAUAAUAAUUCUGCGUGGUUUUGGAUUUUGUGAAAAAUCUGGAUAUUGCUGGACUGCUGCGUUCUUCCAUUGGUGGCUGCUGAAAAGCUGGAUUCUGCUGCCUUCUGGUUAUGUGCUCUCAUAGAGAAAAGCUGUAGGCAAUCACCAGUUGAUCACCGUCUAUGAGUAUUACGUCAAGAUGGAUUCCGAGCCUCUUGGAUGGUAAAUCUGUUUUAUGUUGUGAGAAAUCUGACAUGGCACACAAGUAACUGAUCAAGGCAACGAGACGCCGACUAAGAUUAUUUGGUCGCAAUACUUGUAAUGUACUGCCUAGCCAUUUUUUUCACUGCCUCUAGGGUAGUGCCAGCAAUUUUGUUUUCUCUUUUGGGUACGUAGGCUGCCAUGCUCUGAGAGUUGAACCGAUCACUCAGAAUCUGGGCAUGGACAGGGGAAUCCUUCUGGAAACGACUAGCACUGCACUUAAGCUCAGGCCUAAGAGUUAUAAGCUACUCAGAGACUAUAGCUGCCAGGGGCAAAAAAGAGGUAUGGGGUCGAUUGUUUUUAAAUUUUUAAUCAUACAAGUACCAGCAGAUUUAUUAGCUAUCCUUUUUAUUCUUUCUCAGCCAUCUUCUUUCUUAAGCCUCUUAAUCUAAGGCUGGCCUCUGUGUCUUGCAUCGACGGCGCCUGUGGCUCGUCAUUUCUCGCCCCGGCGGCCACCAGAUGUGUCCGGGCGCUUAUGCCUUGUAGUUGAGUUCACCGAGUGUGUUUUAGAGGGGAAAACAGAGGGCUAAAGUAGGAAACGGCAUGUAGCUGCUCUGCUGGUGCUGGAUAUAUCUAGGGACAGCGUACUUGCGGCAUCGGUACAUGUGCUGCAAGUUGUACAUGCAGACCUGUGCUGGUCAAAUGAGCGUUUCGAGUGGAGUGCCGCUUGCUUGA